CGCUACCACAUCCAAGGAAGGCAGCAGGCGCGCAAAUUACCCACUCCCAGAACGGGGAGGUAGUGACGAAAAAUAACAAUACGGGACUCUUUUGAGACCCCGUAAUUGGAAUGAGUACACUCUAAAUCCUUUAACGAGGAUCCAUUGGAGAGCAAGUCUGGUGCCAGCAGUCGCGGUAAUUCCAGCUCCAAUAGCGUAUAUUAAAGUUGUUGCGGUUAAAAAGCUCGUAGUUGGAUCUCAGAUCCUGCCGGACGGUCCGCCUACCGGUGGUUACUGUUCGCUGCAGAUCGUUCGGACGGCCUAGUUUGAUGAUCUUAACCGGUUGUCUCACCUGACCGUCAAGUUUACUUUGAAAAAAUUAGAGUGCUCAAAGCAGGCGUGAUGCCUGAAUAGUUGUGCAUGGAAUAAUGGAAUAGGACCUCGGUUCUAUUUUGUUGGUUUUCGGAACACGAGGUAAUGAUUAAGAGGGACAGACGGGGGCAUUCGUAUUGCGACGCUAGAGGUGAAAUUCUUGGACCGUCGCAAGACGAACUACUGCGAAAGCAUUUGCCAAGAAUGUUUCCAUUAAUCAAGAACGAAAGUUAGAGGUUCGAAGGCGAUCAGAUACCGCCCUAGUUCUAACCAUAAACGAUGCCAGCCAGCGAUCCGGCUGUGUUCCUCAAAUGACACGCCGGGCAGCUUCCGGGAAACCAAAGCUUUUGGGUUCCGGGGGAAGUAUGGUAG
rnacentral:rRNA from 1 species